UUGGCAAUAAGAGAAACCAUAUAAAAUUUAAAUUAUUAAUUUAAAUUAAUAAUAUGGUAUAAUAAAAUCGGAGGCCACGACUGUUUACUAAAAACACAAUUCAGAGCAAUGAUUAAGAUAAUAGUAUUCUGGAUGAAAUUUGCUCAAUGCCAUUAAUAUAAGAGAGGUAAUUUUAAAGUUACUAAUCGAAAAUCUGGUUAAUAGCGGUCUUAACUAUGAGGAUCCUAAGGUAGCAAAAUAAAUUGGCCAUUAAAUGUGGUCUUGUAUCAAUAAUGUAACGAUGGUCUCACUGUCUCUACAACUUGCUCAGUGAAAUUGAAUUGCGAGUGCAGAUGCUCGCAUCU
rnacentral:rRNA from 1 species